rnacentral:lncRNA from 1 species
UAAACUCACGAAAAACUACUAGAAAAGUGAUUCUAGUAUCUGUUUCCUCCACCCUUUCGGUAGACAGUUGCAGUUGGAGACUCAUAAUUUAAAAGGUUAUCAGACGAUGCUCAAAUGACCUCAAAUUUUACAUGAACUUUCCUAACACUUAUAUAUAAUUACCAUAAAAUUUUCACGAUUUUUGGGUAUCAAAAACCCCUUCAAAAACCAUCAAGUCAGUAGCUUAAAAGCUAGCCAAUUAAAUCAUCAACUAGUCCAUCCUAAACAUAUAUCCAAGCAUACUCUAUUUUCUUGUCAAACCAAUUCAUCAUUAUCGUUAUCAAACAAUUCUAAUCAUCAUUUUAAUCCAUCAACCAUCAUAACUACAAUCUCAUAGGCUCAUUUUCAUACUCAACUCCAACAUCACACCACCUAACACCUUUAUAAACCAUAUCUCAAAAUCAAAUCAUGCUUUUCAUACAAAGACCAAUAAAUAACAUCUUAAUAGCAUGCAUAUACGCUCCAUUUUAAAGUUAGAAGACGACAAAAUUUUAUAAGACUUCCAACCCUAGUGAUCUUCGAAAAUUACCAGCUCGAAUUAGGAGUUGGUUUCAUGCUUCACUCAUCUAUAUACAUGC